rnacentral:rRNA from 1 species
GAUUUUUCUGCCCAUUGAAUUUAAAAGGCUGCAGUAAGUUAACUGUACAAAGGUAGCAUAAUCAAUAGUUUUUUAAUUGAAAACUUGAAUGAAAGAAUUAAUAAAAUAUAUAUUGUCUUAAAAAUUGAAAUUAAAAUAAAAGUUAAAAUUCUUUUAUAUAUUUAUUAGACGAUAAGACCCUUAGAAUUUAAUAAUAAAUUUAAAUAUAUUAUUUAAUUUUUAAUAAUAUUAUUUUAUUGGGAGGGUAAUUAAAAUAAACUUUAAUUUUAUUAAACUUUGAUAAAAGAUUUUUAUGAUUAUUAUUAUAAUUAUAAGAAUAAAUUACCUUAGGGAUAACAGCGUGAUAAUUUUGGAAAGGUCAUAUUGAUAAAAUUGUUUGCGACCUCGAUGUUGAAUUAAAAUAAAAGUUAAAUGGAGAUAUUWAAAAUUUUAGUCUGUUCGACUAUUAAAAUUUUAC